ensembl:lncRNA
GGAAGGAUAAAAUGGAGGCAUGAUGGAAGGAUAGAAUGGAGGCAUGAUGGAAGGAUGAAUGGAGGCAUGAUGGAAGGAUAGAAUGGAGGCAUGAUGGAAGGUGUGAAUGGAGGCAUGAUGGAAGGAUUGAAUGGAGGCAUGAUGGAAGGUGUGAAUGGAGGCAUGAUGGAAGGUGUGAAUGGAGGCAUGAUGGAAGGUGUGAAUGGAGGCAAUGGAAGGAUAGAAUGGAGGCGUGAUGGAAGGAUAAAAUGGAGGCAUGAUGGAAGGAUAGAAUGGAGGCAUGAUGGAAGGUUUGAAUGGAGGCAUGAUGGAAGGUGUGUAUGGAGGCAUGAUGGAAGGAGUGAAUGGAGGCAUGAUGGAAGGAUAGAAUGGAGGCAUGAUGGAAGGUGUGAAUGGAGGCAUGAUGGAAGGAUAGAAUGGAGGCAUGAUGGAAGGAGUGAAUGGAGGCAUGAUGGAAGCAUAGAAU